UCUCAUCUUUUCCGACGAAGGCUCUUUCUCUGCCCACCGUGCCACCAUGGCACCGGCGACCGACGGUGCACAGACAAGGGCCUUUCAGCCCCGUUUCGAAACCUCCUUUCCCUUUUUUUAAAGAACUUUAAAUCAGUUUUUAUUUUUUUAAAAAUGGAGAAAAUGAUUAACAAAUGAACAUACAACCACUCUGUCGCCUUUUGGGACCCUUGGACACCGACUACGUCUGUCGACGAGGAGGGAGACCGAUUCAGGUAUUUUUCGUUUUCCUCUUCUUUUGAUUUUCGUAUAAAAUAUAUAUAUAAAUGAAAAGAAUAGAAUGAAAUAAAGAGCAAAAAAAAAAACUACCUUAAAAACUUUCUCUCUUUUUUAUUGAUAAGUAUUUUUUUCUUUGAACAAUCGGUCCCCCCUUUUUACAUUGAUCUUUUCUUUUGGCUUUAUAACCGAUUACAUAUGAUUUCUUACUAUUCUUUGCUUGUUUCUGCUUCUAUUUUGCAUGUUUCUCUGCUCUCUGUCUUGCAUUCUUUUUUUGUUCUUGUUUUGCAGGCCUAGACGGAAGCGAUGGUGCAGAAGCUUGCCAUGUUGGUACAAGCGGUGUCAGGGGAGCCAACCUUCGGGCGUUGGACGUGCCGACGAAGCAAGUGGGAGGGGAAAUGGCUAGGGCCGCUCUUAGGGUUUGAUUGAAAAUGUUUUAGGAUAGUGGGCUGAUGUGUAUUGGGUAAUUGGGUUUAGGGCUUAAGUUAGGUAUUGGGUUUUGAUAUGAGUUGUAGUUUGGGUUUUAAUUUUUGUAAUUUGGAUUUUAAAAUUUGGACAUUAUUGGUUUAUUUAUUAUAAGCCCAGGUCAAAAUUGACCUAUUACAACUGCCCCUCUUUGUUCAUUUUCGUGUAUCGAGAAUGGAGCAAAGACCUUAAAAGGGUCAAUUUUGCCUGGUCUUGUAGGAUCCCAACUUCUUUUGGUGCUUCUUUUCUUCAAGUAUCUUCAAUAUGUCUCACUGUAACUUUAGAGAUAUGAGAUUCACUGUCUUCGAUCUGCUCCAAUCUUUAUCCUCCGUGUGUGACCUGAUACUCAACUCACCUCACGCAAUAUGAGUUGAUUUUUUUGAAAAAUAAAUUAAAAAACAGAAAUUGAAAAUACUUCAGCGUCUUACCUGGGGCUCAACUCACCUCUCGCAAUAUGAGUUGAUUUUUUUUUGAAACAUAAAUUGAAAAACAAAAAUUGAAAAUACCUCAACGUGUUACUUGAGACUCAACUCACCUCUCGCAAUAUGAGUUGAUUUUUUUGAGACAUAAAUUGAAAAACAAAAAUUGAAAAUACCUCAGCGUGUGACCUAAAGCUCAACUCACCUCUCGUAAUAGGAGUUGAUUUUUAGAAAUAUAUAUUGAAAAAUUGAAAUAAAACAUCAAAACCAAAACCUGUCAUCUGGUGGAACUCGGGUGUCUUUUUCCUUGAUUUAGUACAUCUAUCAUCCAAACCUUUUGCUCUGUUGGAGUACCUGUAUAUGUCAUGCAUGAUAUUAUCAUGAUGUGCACACGUUUGUCUUAAAUGCCUGUAUUCCUACACGAUUAUGCUAUGAGCUUUGGGCUUGUUCGUCAUAUAUCCCUUUUUGUUACGAUUUUUGUGAUGAUCUGCAUUCAUUGCUUCGAUUCUUGGCUUUCUCUUCAGGCUUUGUACCCGUCCUCAAGCUUUACGAGUAAUCUGCGUUUUUCGGAUAUCACUCUUUUACCUUCUGUUGAACUUUGUUCUUGCUUUGAGGCUCUUGUACUUAUCAAAUUCUCCUCCGGGUAAUACUCAAUAUUUCUUUUGUUUGGAGUAUGUCAUUUCACUAUUUAUCAUUUAAAUGGACCACACGUGAGAUGCAUGAAAAAUGGCCAAAAUAGGUACAAAAAGAGAUGCCUCACACUUAUAUUUAUUUCAAAAGUAACAAACAAAAAAAGUUGACCAAAAAGGUUUAAAGAGUCAUAAAGCAAGAAAAAGGGAAUUGCUCUUAGUGGAUACAAAAGUUCUGGGUAUUCAACGUAUGAACUCUUCCACGUUUCUUAAUCAAAAAUCUUUUCGAGCAUGGCUUCUUACGUAAAAGAUUUCAAGCUGCUGAAAAUGCUUCAAAUACUGUACUCUUGUUCACUGCUUGAAUCGUUUUACUCAUUAGGCCCAGAUCUGCUUCAUUAAGACGCCUUUUCGGGUUUUUAUCCUAAUAUUUUGUUUAUCAAGACACCCUUUCCGGGUUUUCAUCUUGAUCUUUUGUUUAUCAAGACUCCCUUUCUGGGUUUUCGUCUUGAUCUUUUUUUCUUUUUUUUAGGCAUAAUAUUUCUUCACAGUAUCAGAGUUUAUUGGAUUUGGUAACUCCUUCUCAUCCGUCUCAGUGAGAAUCAAAGCUCCACCUGAGAAAGCCUUCUUUACGCCCAUUUUCCUCGCAAGUCUUUUUGUAUUGGGAGGAUAUUUCUUAGUAUGAGUUCUCCUUCGUGGAAUUCUCUUGGUCGUACUUUCUUGUCAUGGGCCGCAAUCAUUCUCUUUUGGUACAUCUGUCCAUGACAGAUUGCCUUUAAACGUUUUUCUUUGAUAAGACUUAGCUGGUCAUAUCGAGUUUGAACCCAUUCUGAUUCAUCUAGUUUUGUCUCCAUUAAGACUCGUAGAGAAGGGAUCUCAACUUCGAUCGGCAACACAGCUUCCAUUCUAUAGACCAGAGAGAAAGGGGUUGCUCCCAUAGAUGUUCGCACAGAUGUGCGGUAUGCAUACAAAGCGAAUGGUAGCUUCUCGUACCAGUCUUUAUAUGUCUCGGUCAUUUUCCCAAUAAUCCUCUUAAUAUUUUUAUUGGCCGCUUCAACAGCUCCGUUCAUUUUCGGGUGAUAGGGUGAGGAGUUAUGAUACUUUAUUUGAAUUCGCUCACACACUUCUUUCAUCAUCUUGUUGUUCAAAUUCAAGACAUUAUCUGAAAUGAUUCUCUCAGGCAAACCAUAUUGACAAAUGAUUUCCUUUUUCAAGAACCUACAAACUGCAGUCUUCGUUACAUUAGCAAACGAAGUGGCUUCUAUCCAUUUUGUGAAGUAAUCUAUAACCACAAAAAUGAAUCAGUGUCUAUUAGAAGCUUUUGGAGAAAUUGGCCCUAUAACAUCCAUGCCCCACAUAGAAAAAGGCCACGGAGACGUCAUGACAUGAAGAGGCGAAGGGACUAAAUGAAUUUUAUCGCUAUAAAUUUGACAUUUGUGGCACUUUCUUGCAUAACUAAUACAGUCGCUUUCCAUCGUCAGCCAGUAGUAACUGAGUCUCAUAAUCUUCCUGGCCAUAGUGAAACCAUUGGCAUGCAUCCCACAAAUUCCUUCAUGGACAUCUUCAAGUAUUUUCUGGCUUCAAUAGUAUCCACGCAUCUCAGAAGCACUUGAUCUUUUCCUCUUUGGUACAUGAUAUCCCCAUCAAGAACAAAUCUCACUACCAUUCUUCUGAUUGUUCUUUUGUCGUUCUCAUUUUCUUGUUCGGGAUAUUUUUGAUCCUUGACAUAUUCUAAGAUAUCAUGGAACCAUGGUCGUCCAUCUGCUUCUUUCUCAAUGCUACAACAAUGUGCAGGGGCCUGAUAUAUGCUCAUUUUGAGGGGCAUUAUUCCCGUUUCUCUAUUUGCUUUGAACAUUGAAGCCAAAGUGGCUAGGGCAUCAGCCAAUUGGUUUUCUUCUCGUGGGAAGUAAUUAAAAGUUACUUCUUUGAAUUUUUUAAUCAGUUCCUCCACUAGAUCACUGUAUUUAACCAAUUUCAGAUCCCUCACUUCCCAAUCUCCACGAAUUUGGUAAAUCACCAGCGUUGAGUCCCUUUAUACCUGUAGAAUUUGGACAUUUCAUUCAAUGGCUACACGAAGUCCUAUGAUACAAGCCUCAUAUUCCUCUAUGUUAUUGGUACAAAAUAAGUUCAAUCUGGCAAUAAACGGAUAAUGAUUCCCUUCUGGUGAUAUUAAGACUGCUUCAAUCCCAUGCCCCAAUGCAUUUGACGCACCAUCAAAGCUCAUCUUCCACGACUUUUCUUUUGAUGACUCGCAUUCUUUUUCUGUAAUGUACAUCAAGUCUUCAUCUGGGAAAUCAAAUCUCAAUGGCUCAUAUUCCUCCGUUGUUCGAGUUGUUAAGAAGUUACCUAUUGCGCUUCCUUUUAUCGACUUUUGACUCACAUAGACGAUGUCGUACUUCGAUAGUAGGAUCUGCCACCGCGCCAUUCUUUCUAAAAGUGCAGGUGAUUCCAUCAUGUACUUUAUUGGGUAUAGCUUUGAAAUUAACCAUGUCGUAUGAUACAACAUAUAUUGCCUGAGUCUCCGAGCUACCCAAACCAAUGCGCAAUAGAAUUUUUCGAUUGACGAAUACUUUGCCUCAUACUCUGUGAACUUUUUGCUGAGGUAGUAAAUCGCCUUUUCUAUUUUCCCUGACUUGUCAUGUUACCCCAGUACGCAACCUAUUGAAUUUUCAAAUACAAUCAGGUACAAUAUUAAUGGUCUUCUUGGAGUUGGCGGUACUAGCACCAGGGGACUAUACAAAUACUGUUUUAUCUUGUCAAAAGCCACCUAGCAUUCCUCGUCCCAUUCUCUCGGGUUAUGUUUUUGAAGAAGUCGAAAAAUUGAGUCACACUUGUUGGUAAGUUGAGCAAUGAAUCUGGCGAUGUAGUUUGACCUUCCUAAAAAUCCUCUGACUUCUUUUUGCGUGCGCGGAAGUGGUAGUUCUUGUAUGGCUUUUAUUUUAUCUGGAUUAACCUCGAUACCUCUUUAGCUGACAAUGAAACCUAGCAAUUUUCCCGAGGUAGCCCCAAACGUACAUUUAGUUUGAUUAAGCUUCAACUGGAAGUUUCUUAGUCUUUCGAACAACUUCUUGAGGUUCAGAACAUGCUCUUUUUCCCCUCGGGAUUUAGCAAUCAUAUCAUCGACGUAGACUUCUAUUUCUUUAUGCAUCAUGUCAUAGAACAACAUCACCAUGGCCCUCUAAUAUGUUGCCCCAGCAUUCUUUAAUCCGAACGGCAUCACCUUGUAGCAGAAUGUUCCCCACAUCGUUACGAAUGUAGUUUUCUCCAUAUCCUCAGGAGCUAUCUUGAUCUGUUUAUAACCCGAGAAUCCAUCCAUGAAAGAAAAUAAUGAAUGUUUCACUGUGUUAUCCACUAAUGUAUCAAUGUGUGGUAAGGGAAAAUUAUCUUUAGGACUUGCUCGAUUCAGGUCGCGAUAAUCCACACACAUUCGUACUUUGCCGUCUUUCUACGGUUCUGGGACUAUGUUAGCCACCUAUUCUGAAUAUUUGGAGACUUGUAGGAAGCCAGCAUCUAAUUGUUUCUUGACUUCUUCUUUUAUCUUCAACAGCAUUUCAGGUCUCAUUCGUCUUAGCUUCUGUUGAAUAGGUUUGCAUUCUGGCUUCAAAAGGAGUCUAUGGACCACUAUAUUUUUGUUCAAACCUGGCAUGUCCUGAUAUGACCAUGCAAAUACAUCUUUGUACUCAUGAAGUAGGGCGAUCAAAUCAUGUCUGGUGUUAUCUGAAAUGGAGGUCCCAAUCUUCACUUCUGCCUCUUUUCUUCAGUUCCCAAGUUUACUGUCUCAACAGAUUCUUGAUGAGGUAAAAUCUGUUUAUCUUCUUGUUCCACCAUUCUUAGCAAGUCAGGAGACGAGACAUAGUCUUCAUCAUUUUCCUCAACUUCGAAUUCUCCUAAACAAAUAGCUUUCUCGAAAUUGGUUUUAAGACUUGUAACGGGUUUGUUCAUGUCGUUGAUAUCUGAGCACCUAAAAGUUGAAUGGAAAAGGAAACUAUAGAGGAGCAUCGAAUUAUUGGAACCAACAAGCAUAAUGUUAUGGCAUGAUGUGAGAUACAUGUAAUGACAGGCUGUGAGAAGUGAGAAUAAUUAUGAAGUUAAUGAGAAUGAAAAGAUCAUGACAAAAUGCAUCUCUAUUAUGUUCAUUUGAAUGAUAAAGAGCAAACAUAAGCUCUUACAAAAGAAUCCCUCUAUACUUGAGGACAUACAAAAAGAAGAUUUAACAUUGAGCAUUACUCUAGAGAAGACUUAGAAACUAUAAGAAGAUCCACAGCAGUCCAAUUGUUCAAAUCGAAUCCAAGAGGACAAGGGCGUAUCACUGAAACAUCAUUAAUCGCAUCAGCUUCUUUAUCAAUGACAUUUAUACUGACAUUCUUACAACCCUUUCAAUUAAAAACAGCGUACUUCGUGAAUUAUCUUGCCUUGAGUAUAUCAUUCCUACAGAUGUAAAUGUUUUUGACAAAGAAGGGUAUGUUAUAGGCUCCCAUUCCAAUUCUCAGCCUAAGGCUCUAGCAACCCUCCUUUCUUGAUCUUUUUGCCACUGUUUUCUUCUUUAUCAUGCAUUCGGAUAGAACCCUAAACCGUAUCGAGCCUUGUGGUAUACUGGUUUUAGAGCCUUAACUAUCCCUUGCUGAUAUCUUCCCAAACCUUUCCUCACUCGGGCUCCCUUUCCCACAGUCAGCUUAAUUCCUAUCUUGGUAUUCCUCGACAGCUUAGGCACGGGAAUUCUAUUUCCCUUAGCAACAAAUGUAGCGUUGAUAAAUUUAAGGAAUCGAAAGGAACAUUUUACUGCAUCUUUGCUUACUUCAAGGUACGGUGCAUCAGUAGAGAUAGAUGCGACAAUGUCUUCUUCACCCGCGACAGUGACCAAACAGCCAUCCAUGAUAAAUUUGACCUUUUGAUGGAGAGAUGAAGGAACUGCCCCAGCAGAAUGGAUCCAGGGCCUUCCUAAAAGUCAAUUAUAUGAAGGUGUAAUGCCCAUGACCUGGAACUCGACAUCAUCUAUGUAGGGACCCACUUCUAGAGGGAUCUCAAUCUUUCCCAUGACUUCUCGUCUUAUCCCAUCGAAUGCCCUUACUAUGGAGUGACAAGGCCUUAGAUAAGACAGAUCAAUUGGAUUUCUAGAAAGCGUGGCUAAAGGCAUGACGUUGAGUGCUGACCCGUUAUCAAUGAGCACAUUCGGUAUUAUAUAACCCUUGCAAUGGGUUGUGAUGUGCAAUGCUUUCACGGAGCCCCUACCAUUUAGCGGUAUUUUGUCAUCACUGAAAGAAAUAAAAUUAUCCGCAUUCAGGUUAUUCACCCACCUAUCAAGCUUUUCAACAGAUAUAUUGUUUGCCAUAUGAGCUUGAUUUAACACUUUCAGCAGAGCGUUCUGGUGUGGUUCUGAAUUCAACAGUAGAGAUAAUGCUAAGAUUCGUGUUGGUUGUUUUCUCAAUUGUUCCACAACAUUAUAUUCACUAUGCUUAAUAAACUUCAAGAAUUCCUGUGCUUCCUCCUCAUCCACAGGCUUUUUAGCUUCUUGUUCAGACAGGGUUUCAUGCUCGACUUCAGCCUCAUGCAUUAAUGCAUUUCCUUUCUAUUUCGAGUCACUAAUCUUCUUCCUUGGUUCAACUUCUUUAGAAUAACAUCUCUCGCUGCGGGUAAAAUGACCUACUUCACCAACACUUCCAGUAGUGGCUUUAGAUUUUCCACCUUCAGGUGUGAUAAUAUUGACAUCGUAUUUCCACAGUACCGCCUUGUUGUCUUUGUAAGGGAAAUGAGAUGGUACUUCAAUUAUCAUUUUUGGUCUCACUUGUUCCUUCUUUGCAUCGUAAUAAAUCACUAAUGGUCGAUCGGCGCUAUAAGGGCAACCUGAUGAUUGAUUGUCAAAAGCGCAUAUUUCUCAUUCAUCGGCCUCUUCCUCUUUAUUAAAGAUCCCAAUCUCCUUGUUGUCCAUCAUGUCUUGAAGUAACCUUCUAAAUUCAUCACAAGACUGAAUGUCAUGCCCUUCAAUACCAUGGAAAUCACAAAAAUAUUGACCUUUUGUAUUUCUUUCUUCGAAAAUUCUACUGGGACGACAUAACACCCCUUUUCGACCAGUACCUCCCAGACCUUCUGCAGAGGUGUCUUUAUUUCAGAAACAUAUCUUUUGGCUUGCCAUUUGUUCUCCUUCGUCACCACGCUCACGUUUCCUUCAGUAUGGUUAGGGAACGGGUUCCUAGCUGUAUUGCUAGCGCCAUCAAAUCGUAGAAUGCCUACAUCAAUGAGUCCUUGAAUCUUCCUUUUAAAAGUAAGACAAUUUUCUGUAGAAUGUCCCUAGUUUCCGGUGUGGUACAUGCAACUGGCAUUAGGAUCGUACCAUUUUGGGUAUGAAGGCUUCAGGGGUGCCAUAUAAUGUGGGGAUAUUAAUUGUUUCUCCAAUAGUUUUGGGUACAGUUCCCCAUACGACACAGGAAUAGGGGUAAAUUAAGGUUUCUCGGGAUUGGGUUUUGCCGGUCUUUGUUCGUUUUUGGGUUGGCUUUGAGCAGGUAUGGUAUUUUGUGGGAAUGUGGCGCCUGGUCUUUGGUUAUUUGUAGAGUAAACAGGGUAGGAAGGGUAAGGAGGUGCUGCUUGAUAGUAAGGGCCUUGGGGAGGAAAAUAGAAGUUUGGAGGUGGGUGAUAUCGAGGUCGUGGUUGGUUUGGUACGAAUUAGAAGUAUAGCGGCUUCCAGUUCCCACCAUAUGAGUUUCUGGCUCUUUUUUCUUCAUGGGUGCUGCCCUUUUUGAGCUUUCGAGACCUUUCAUCCUUCCAUUCUUGACGGCAUUCUCUAUAAGUUCCCCAGAUAUUACAAUAUCCGCAAAGUCUUUCGUGGCACUUCCUACCAGCUUAUCAUAGAAUGGAGCUUUCAAAGUGUUGAUGAAGAGGACCGUUAUCUCAGUUUUAGUCAGUAGUGGUUCUACUUGGGCCGAGAUAUCCCUCCAUCUUUGAGCGUAUUGCCUAAAAGUCUCUGUUGGCUUUUUUUCUAUCAUUUGCAGAGUCAGCUGAUCAACCACCAUGUCAGAUACAUGCUUGUACUAUUCACAAAAUGCUGACACUAAGUCCUUCCAUGAUUGAAUCCUUUUUCUACUAAGUUGAUUAUACCAUCGAAGAGCCGAUCCGAUCAAGCUGUCUUGGAAAAAAUGUAUGAAUAACUUAUUUUCAUUCACGUAACCCGUCAUUUUUCGGUAAAACAUGACAAGAUGCGCCUUUGGACAUCUCGUUCCGUCGUAUUUUUUAAAAUCUGGCACCUUAAACUUUGGAGGUAGAACCAGAUCGGGCACCAGACUGAGCUCUUUGGCACUUAAUGCAGAAAAGACUUCAGUACCUUCUAUUGCCUUGAGCCUUUCUUCCAAGCUCCUAUACUUAUCCCGAACAUCAUGAUCGUCUAUUUUCAACCUGGCUAUUUCUACUGGAUCAUCCAAAUCUGGAACGAUUAGAUUAGCAGGAUUAGUUCCAGGGUUUGAUACAAAUAUUCCUUGCCCUAUAUAAGCAGGUGGCACAGGUCGUUGCUCCAGGCCUGCAGGUUCCCCUUGAGCGUAUCAUCUUUGUGUUGCAUAGCGUGCGGUGGAGUGAAUCCUGGGGGAUAGAGCGGAUCCUGAUCAUGAUUAACUCUUGACUGAUGUUCCAUAACGUCAGAGCUCUGCAUAAGUCCCUUUCCUUUAACCAAAGCUGACAUCAUUUCCAUCAUUUUGGCCAUUCGAUCCUUUUGCUCGAGUGAUUCCUCUCGAGAUCUUACCAUCAGAUCUCUUGUCUCCUGUUAUGACUUAGCCAACUGUUCAUUCAGUUCUCUUUGAGUUCUUUCCAUCUUUUCAAUUUUUUCAUUGAAUUCAGCCUCCAUUAUUCUAGCUUGUCGGCGCGUCCUAUAAGAAUGACGUGAUUCUAGACUUGUAGUGUCACAACUGCGAAUUAUAUGAUUUUAUCCUUAGUGAAUGAUUGUGGGAUAUGCAAUGAAUGGAUGAAUGAAUAAAUGUCAAAUGAAUGUCAAUCAUGAAUGAAUAUGCAAGAAUUUGGUAUUGAUUUCAAGAUAGCCUCUACUUAGGCAUUUCAUUUAUCAAAAGAGUCUAUCACAAAACAUUUUGCCAUUUUUUGAUUCAACAGUUACACAAAUUUCCUAGCUAUAUCGCUAUAUUUCUUCACACGUUCUAAGAACUCUGAUAUGCUAGAUCUUUGGCUCAGAGGGAAUUGGCAACUGAGAGUUUCGGCUUCAUCUGAUAGUUGCACAACUUGCAUAGCCGCCUUGCAAAUUUCAGUGAUCAAAAAGCCAAGUUGCAUUUCUUUUUCUUGGAGGUCUUUUUUAUAGGCGUGAGUGUCUCUGUCAUACUGGUCGUUCUUUUCAUCUAAGGUUUUUAGGAGAGUAUCCAAUUGUUGCUGACAGGCCUGCAGCGUAUUUUUUAAAUCUCGCACUUUCCCUCUUAACUCUCGACGCUCAGACUGACUAGUGAUUAAUUCUAUAGACACAGUUUUGUAUUUAGCAUUUUUCUUUCUUAACUCUAUCGUAGCACGUGCAGCUUUCUCCUCUUCUUUUUUCACCUUCCCUUUCCAGAAUUCUAUCCCACCUUUGAUCUUGUUUAGCUCUUCCUUCCAUUCUGCUUGCGAUUUACCCAGCCCACUAUUUUUUAUAGUGCUUCUUAAUUUCUUAUUUUCCAAAUGAAGGUCCCUUAAGUCAUUUCUCACGAUCUCAACUUCUCUUUGGACUUUUACGGUUUUAGAUUUUUCAAUUUGAACAUCGAUCUUCAGCUGGUAGUUUUUUUCUUGAAGAGAACUAAGGUCCCGUAACAGCUUGUCCUUUUCGCGUACAAAUUCACGUCUUGCCAUUUCCAGCUCGGAUAGCAUUUCUUCUGAGAAAAGAUUCUGAAAGGAGUAAUUCAUCGACGAGACUUGUUGACUAUUCAUCCGUCGUUUUCUCCAUAUGUCAUAAUCUUGAGUGAAAGUAUCAGCAUAGAGAGCUAAUUCCAUUAGGUGAAUUUCUUUCUAGGCCUUUGCAAUAUCCCGUACUCUUUUCAUGUAACCUUCACCUGUAAAUGUAAACUCUGAUUGGGCCAAUCCUCUGGCGGCGGGUAUGAACUGUCGUGAAGCAAAUUGCCUUUGAACCAUUAACGGAGCAUAUCCAAUCCCUCCCCAUAAUCCGAGUAAAGGUACCCAAUCUUGGCUUCCGUAUUUAUAUAUCAGAACUGAAGGACGGAUCCAUUGUGCUCUCCAGGUUAUCUCUUCAGCACGAAGGUUUUGAAAAAUCGAAACCCAGUGCUGAUCGGUGACAUCUUUCGGCCAAUCUUUCUCGAGGUAAGCUUUCAAUGGGGCAAAUAUUUUUGAGAACAUAUAGAAAGGUGUGCACUCUACUUUCUAGAAAUGACUUAGAAUCCAGACAUUAAGUAACUGUGAGCAUCUGAUAAAAUGUCCUUAUCCUUUUCUCCUGCAAUUACUCAGAGAUCUAAAAGUCUCGGCCAAGAUAGUUGGGACGGGGUUGAUUCCUUGCUUCACCCUCUUGAAGAAAUCUACUACCGCGACUUCUAUAUGUCCGAGAACCUUCGGGAAGACGAUUAAUCCAUAAAUGGCCAGAGCAAACAAAUCUACCCUCCUCAAUAUGUCUGGAUGGUUUUGAACUAUAUCUCGCAGUAAAAACCAUGGGACACAACUAACUUCGUUCUUUUUCUUUAUCUGUUUUUUAGCCCAUGUAUCGGUCAUUCCUGUCAACUUCAUUAGCUUUUUCUUGAGGGUCAUUGGUUUGGGCUCCUUCACAUAUAUAUUAUAGAACUGUACAUUGUCAACACGGAGUAAAGCAGCGUAUUCUUCAAUGGUCGGGGUCGUAUCUUCUUGAUUAAAAGUAAAGCACUGGUAAGCUAGGUCCCAGAAUCGAACCAAGGCUUGAAUCAAUUGUUCAUCUACGUUGAUGGCUAUCAAAUAAGCUAUAUCCCCGUACUUUUCAGUGAAGAUACCCUUAGUGUCUGAGUCCCACUGUUUCCAGAUUCGAGUCAAGUCUUCAAGGUUAUUUUGACGAACAUUUACAGUUACGUGCUCGGGAAGAUAGGAGAUACAUCCUUCUGUUAAGCUGUCCCCUUUUUCCUUCUGGGUUUUCAAAUACCAGUCCUGAACCACGGCAUUUUUCUCGGUUACUUGUGUAAUUAACUCCUCCAUCAGAAACCCAUUUUUGGCAACCGGUCUCUAAUCAACACCUUUCUAAUAUGAUGCCUAUGAUGCAUGGCGAAAAAGAAAAAAUAAAAUAAAGACAAACAACCUUGGUUAGUAAUCACAUCAAAUAUAAGCAGGGAAAAGUCAUAGAAAAUCUAACAAAUUAAGCUACCCAAUUCAAUUUAUUAAAUAGACCCGAUCCCCUUGCAUAAAAAGUGAACAAGGAAUUUCAAAAAUUUUGACAACACGCGUUUAAUUCGACUCGACUCUCAAAAAGAUGUCCCCAGUGGAGUCGCCAGCUGUAGCGACAUAAAAUUUGCUUGGGCGCUAAUUGAGGUGAUUUAUUGAAAAUUGGAAAACUGAAUUUCGAUUUUAUAAAAAAAAAAGAGGAGUCACCACCGAUCCUUUUUCCUAGGUGUGAUCAGACACCUAAUAAAUCCUCUUUUUAACAAAAAAAAUUAUUUUUUGGUAAAAAGAAGGCCGAGUUUAGGUCUACGUCAAACUCUAGAGAAAAAUAGGGUUCGGGAGUCGGUUACGCACGAAGAAGGUAUUAGCACCCUCGUGACGCCAAAAAAAUAGUAUCUCAUUAAACAUGUGUCGUCUCAAUUUUCAAAAACGCGAGUUCAAUGCAACAUUUAAUCGUGAUCCAAUCAAAACACGAGAAUUUUUAUAAUUUCGGUUUCUUUUAAGAAGGACAUUCCUUUUUAAACAUAAGCCGAUUGACAUUCACCCAACAUAGUGAUGAAAUCGACGACUUAAUGUUAAAUCAAUACGUUGCCUUGCUUAUUGAAAUUAAUUAGAAAGCAAGAAUGAAAAUUUUAAAGAAAUAAAAAGCAAACUGAUACAGAAUAAGUACGAAACAGAAAAUAAAAGAGUUAGAAAUACAUCGAAGCAAAUAAUACACCUGACAAUAAUGUUAGAAAUGAUAACAAUGCACGCAAUAUUAAAUGCGAUAAUAAUACUAUUAAUCACGAAAUAAAAAGAGUGAAUAUACAUAUAAACGUAUAAUAAUAGUAAGUAAGGUGACGAAAACAUAAUACUAAAAAUACUGAUAAUGCUACAUAUAAAUAUACAUGAUAAUAGUAUUAAAAACUAUAUACAUAAUAUAUUAAAAUAUAAUAUUAAAAUACAUAUACAUAAAAGGGUAAAAUGAAUAAUAUGGAAAAUAACCUUAAUAUAAAUAAUAAUGAAACAUUUUAAAAUAAAUAAGAUGGAGUUUAAAAAUAAGGUAUAUAAAAUAAUUUAAAAUAAUAAAACAAUUUUAAAUAGAUAAUACAUGAAAACAAAUUCAAAAUCAAAUAUAUGUAAAGCACUUCAAAAUAAAUAAAAUAUACGAAAUAGCUUAAAAUAAAUGAUACAUAAAAAUUUACAAAUAAGUAAUGUAUAACAAAUUUUAGAAUGACAAAAAAAAUAGUUUAGCUCAAAUAACAUUUAGAAAAAAAAAUAUAUAUACAUAUAUAUAUAAAUAGCUUGAGAAUAAUAUAACAAGUUUAAAAUAAAUAAUGUAUAAAAGAAAUCUAAAAUAAAGAAUAUAAAAUAGUUAUAUAUAUAAAAUAGUUUUAGUUAGAUAAUAUAUAUACAAAAUUUAAAGAAUAUGAUAAAUGAAAUAAUGUAUUAAUAUAUAAUAAGGUAGUCUAAAAAUAAAUAGAAUAUAUAAAAAAUAAUAUAUGUAAGACGAAUUUUAAAAUAAACAGUAUAUAAUAAUUUAUGAUAAUCAAACAAAAAAAUACAUAUGAAAAAGUUUAAGCUGAAUGAUACAAAACUUGAAACAAAUAAUGCAAAAUAAAAAAAUAAUAAGCAACACAACAGUUUUCUAAAAAAAUAAGCAAAUAAAUGAAGUAAAUGAAUUAAGGACAGGGAUGAAAACAAGCUAAAAUUUCGGGGUGCUCAAUAUAAAAACUGGAAAGUUAAUCAAGGAUCCGAACGAAGCGCAUUAAAACUAGCAAGGACUAGAUGGGAAAACAUUCCCUUGGUUCCCUACGCAUGUUCAGCAAGACAGCCCAAGGGACCGAAUUAAAAAAAACCACACGAAAUUUGAGGGCCAAAUCAAAAAUAAUAAAAAAGAAAUAAGCCUGAUCAAGUGGUUCUACAAAAUGGAGGGAUUAAAAAUGUAAAUCACCCCUUUAAGGUGGGAAUGCACGGAUUCACACCCCACCCAGCUGUUCCAUUCAAUGUUUUAAAACCCAUCUUUAUUUUUUUUUAGAAAAAAAACAAAAAAGUUUUGAAACCUCUCAUAUUUUCCGACGAAGGCUCUUUCUCUGCCCACCGUGCCACCAUGGCACCGGCGACCGACGGUGCACAGACAAGGGCCUUUCAGCCCCGUUUCGAAACCUCCUUUCCCUUUUUUUUUAAAGAACUUUAAAUCAGUUUUUAUUUUUUUUUCAAAAAUGGAGAAAAUGAUUAACAAACGAACAUACAACCACUCCGUCGCCUUCUGGGACCCUCGGACACCGACUACGUCCGUCGACGAGGAGGGAGACCGAUUCAGGUAUUUUUCGUUUUCCUCUUCUUUUGAUUUUCGUAUAAAAUAUAUGUAAAAAUGAAAAGAAUAGAAUGAAAUAAAGAGCAAAAAAAAAAAACUACCUUCAAAACUUUCUCUCUUUUUUAUUGAUAAGUAUUUUUUUCUUUGAACAAUCGGUCCCCCUUUUUACAUUGAUCUUUUCUUUUGGCUUUAUAGCCGAUUACAUAUGAUUUCUUACUAUUCUCUGCUUGUUUCUGCUUCUAUUUUGCGUGUUUCUCUGCUCUCUGUCUUGCUUUCUUUUUUUGUUCUCGUUUUGCAGGCCUAGACGGAAGCGAUGGUGCAGAAGCUUGCCAUGUUGGUACAAGCGAUGUCAGGGGAGCUGACCUUCGGGCGUUGGACGUGCCGACAAAGCACGUGGGAGGGGGCAGUGGCUAGGGCGGCUCCUAGGGUUUGAUUGAAAAUGUUUUAGGAUAGUGGCUGAUGUGUAUUGGGUAAUUGGGUUUGGGGCUUAAGUUAGGUAUUGGGUUUUAAUAUGGGUUGUAGUUUGGGUUUUAAUUUUUGUAAUUUGGAUUUUAAAAUUUGGACAUUAUUGGUUUAUUUAUUAUAAGCCCAGGUCAAAAUUGACCUAUUACAUUAAUUUUGUAUUAAGGUUAGCAACUAGUUGUAUAUUUUAUUAAGCUUAGCAAGAGUUUUGAUUUUGUUGCAAAAUCGAAUCCCUUUUUCGAAAGCAUUGCUUUGAUUAUAUUCAAUGAUUUUGUAUGUUAUGUGAUGAA
rnacentral:lncRNA from 1 species